rnacentral:rRNA from 1 species
UACGUAGGGUGCGAAGCAGUUAAUUCGGAAUUACUGGGCGUAAAGCGCGCGUAGGUGGUUUGUUAAGUUGGAUGUGAAAUCCCCGGGCUCAACCUGGGAACUGCAUCCAAAACUGGCAAGCUAGAGUAUGGUAGAGGGUGGUGGAAUUUCCUGUGUAGCGGUGAAAUGCGUAGAUAUCUGGAGGAACACCGGUGGCGAAGGCGGCAUCCUGGACCGGUAUUGACGCUGAGGCGCGAAAGCUAGGGGAGCAAACGGG